UACAGAGGGGGCGAGCGUUGCUCGGAAUUACUGGGCGUAAAGGGCGCGUAGGCGGCCUGCUAAGUCGAACGUGAAAUCCCUGGGCUCAACCCAGGAACUGCGUCCGAUACUGGUUGGCUUGAAUCCGGGAGAGGGAUGUGGAAUUCCAGGUGUAGCGGUGAAAUGCGUAGAUAUCUGGAGGAACACCGGUGGCGAAGGCGACAUCCUGGACCGGCAUUGACGCUGAGGCGCGAAAGCCAGGGGAGCAAACGGG
rnacentral:rRNA from 1 species